rnacentral:rRNA from 1 species
GAUGAACGCUAGCUACAGGCUUAACACAUGCAAGUCGAGGGGCAGCAUGGUCGAAGCUUGCUUCGACUGAUGGCGACCGGCGCACGGGUGCGUAACGCGUAUCGAACCUGCCCUAUACACGGGGAUAGCCUUGCGAAAGUAAGAUUAAUACCCGAUGCCAAGUUGAGAUCGCAUGAUUUUGAUUUGAAAGAAAUUCGGUAUAGGAUGGCGAUGCGUCUGAUUAGGUAGAUGGCGGGGUAACGGCCCACCAUGCCGACGAUCAGUAGGGGUUCUGAGAGGAAGGUCCCCCACAUUGGAACUGAGACACGGUCCAAACUCCUACGGGAGGCAGCAGUGAGGAAUAUUGGUCAAUGGUCGCGAGACUGAACCAGCCAAGUAGCGUGCAGGAUGACGGCCCUCUGGGUUGUAAACUGCUUUUAGUUGGGAAUAAAAGGCGGUACGUGUACCGCGUAUUGUAUGUACCAUCAGAAAAAGGACCGGCUAAUUCCGUGCCAG